rnacentral:rRNA from 1 species
AGAGUUUGAUCCUGGCUCAGGACGAACGCUGGCGGCGUGCUUAACACAUGCAAGUCGAACGCUGAAGCCCAGCUUGCUGGGUGGAUGAGUGGCGAACGGGUGAGUAACACGUGAGUAACCUGCCCCCUUCUUUGGGAUAACGCCCGGAAACGGGUGCUAAUACUGGAUAUUCACUGGCCUUCGCAUGGGGGUUGGUGGAAAGGUUUUUUUCUGGUGGGGGAUGGACUCGCGGCCUAUCAGCUUGUUGGUGGGGUGAUGGCCUACCAAGGCUUUGACGGGUAGCCGGCCUGAGAGGGUGACCGGUCACAUUGGGACUGAGAUACGGCCCAGACUCCUACGGGAGGCAGCAGUGGGGAAUAUUGCACAAUGGGCGAAAGCCUGAUGCAGCGACGCCGCGUGAGGGAUGACGGCCUUCGGGUUGUAAACCUCUUUCGCUCAUGGUCAAGCCGCAACUGUGGUUGUGGUGAGGGUAGUGGGUAAAGAAGCGCCGGCUAACUACGUGCCAGCAGCCGCGGUAAUACGUAGGGCGCGAGCGUUGUCCGGAAUUAUUGGGCGUAAAGGGCUUGUAGGCGGUUGGUCGCGUCUGCCGUGAAAUCCUCUGGCUUAACUGGGGGCGUGCGGUGGGUACGGGCUGACUUGAGUGCGGUAGGGGAGACUGGAACUCCUGGUGUAGCGGUGGAAUGCGCAGAUAUCAGGAAGAACACCGGUGGCGAAGGCGGGUCUCUGGGCCGUUACUGACGCUGAGGAGCGAAAGCGUGGGGAGCGAACAGGAUUAGAUACCCUGGUAGUCCACGCCGUAAACG